rnacentral:rRNA from 1 species
AUGCAGAUGCAGAUCUUCGUGAAGACACUCACCAGCAAGAUCAUCACGCUUGAGGUCGAGUCCUCUGACACAGUCGACAAUGUGAAGGCGAUAUUCCAGGAUAAGGAGGGUAUCCCGGUGGACCGGCAGCGCCUCAUUUUUGCUCGCAAGCAGCUUGAGGAUGGUCGGACACUUGGUGAUUACAAUAUACAGAAGGAGUCCACCCUCCACCUGGUGCUCAGGCUCAGGGCUGAUAUGCAUUUCUUUGUGAUGACACUCACUGGCAAGAUCAUCAUGUUUGAUCUGUUCUCCGACACAAUUGAUAAUGCAAGGCGAAGAUCCAGGAUAAGGAGGGUGUCCCGCCGGACCAGCAGGGCCUCAUCUUUGUUGGCAAGCAACUGGAAGAUGGCCGGACCCUGGCCGAAUAUAACAUCCAGAAGGAGUCGACACUCUACCUUGUGCUGA